GCGGCAAUAGCUCAAAUUUGAAAUCUGGCUUUUGUAAAUAAAAGUCCGAGUUGUAAUUUGCAGAGGAUGCUUUUGGCAAGGCACUGUCUAAGUUCCCUGGAAUGGGACGCCACAGAGGGUAAGAGCCCCGUCUAGUUAGAUGCCGAAGCCUUUUUAAAGCUCCUUCAACGAGUCGAGUAGUUUGGGAAUGCUGCUCAAAGUAGGAGGUAUAUGUCUUCUAAAGCUAAAUAUUAGCUAGAGACCGAUAGCGCACAAGUAGAGUGAUCGAAAGAUGAAAAGCACUUUGAAAAGAGGGUUAAACAGUACGUGAAAUUGCUAAAAGGGAAGCACUUGCAACUAGACAUGGAUGUUUUCAAUCAAUUAGUGAUUUUCACUAAUGUGCUUGGAAUUAUCUAGGCUAGCAUCGGUUUACUGUAGAGAAAAAAGAUAUCUAGAACGUAGCCCUCUUCGGAGGGUGUUAUAGCUAGAUGUGUAAUGCUCUACUUAGUAGACCGAGGUGU
rnacentral:rRNA from 16 species